AGUGAACGCUGGCGGUAGGCCUAACACAUGCCAGUCGAACGGCAGCACAGUAAGAGCUUGCUCUUACGGGUGGCGAGUGGCGGACGGGUGAGGAAUACAUCGGAAUCUACUUUUUCGUGGGGGAUAACGUAGGGAAACUUACGCUAAUACCGCAUACGACCUACGGGUGAAAGCAGGGGAUCUUCGGACCUUGCGCGAUUGAAUGAGCCGAUGUCGGGUUAGCUAGUUGGCGGGGUAAAGGCCCACCAAGGCGACGAUCCGUAGCUGGUCUGGGAGGAUGAUCAGCCACACUGGAGCUGAGACACGGUCCAGACUCCUACGGGAGGCAGCAGUGGGGAAUAUUGGACAAUGGGCGCAAGCCUGAUCCAGCCAUACCGCGUGGGUGAAGAAGGCCUUCGGGUUGUAAAGCCCUUUUGUUGGGAAAGAAAAGCAGCAGGUUAAUACCCCGCUGUUCUGACGGUACCCAAAGAAUAAGCACCGGCUAACUUCGUG
rnacentral:rRNA from 1 species